rnacentral:rRNA from 2 species
CUUCAUUAGCUUGCUUUUGAAGAUCAGCGGCGGACGGGUGAGUAACACGUGGGCAACCUGCCUGUAAGACUGGGAUAACUUCGGGAAACCGGAGCUAAUACCGGAUAAUCCUUUCCCUCACAUGAGGGAAAGCUGAAAGACGGUUUCGGCUGUCACUUACAGAUGGGCCCGCGGCGCAUUAGCUAGUUGGUGAGGUAAUGGCUCACCAAGGCAACGAUGCGUAGCCGACCUGAGAGGGUGAUCGGCCACACUGGGACUGAGACACGGCCCAGACUCCUACGGGAGGCAGCAGUAGGGAAUCUUCCGCAAUGGACGAAAGUCUGACGGAGCAACGCCGCGUGAACGAUGAAGGCUUUCGGGUCGUAAAGUUCUGUUGUCAGGGAAGAACAAGUACCGGAGUAACUGCCGGUACCUUGACGGUACCUGACCAGAAAGCCACGGCUAACUACGUGCCAGCAGCCGCGGUAAUACGUAGGUGGCAAGCGUUGUCCGGAAUUAUUGGGCGUAAAGCGCGCGCAGGCGGUUCCUUAAGUCUGAUGUGAAAGCCCCCGGCUCAACCGGGGAGGGUCAUUGGAAACUGGGGAACUUGAGUGCAGAAGAGGAGAGCGGAAUUCCACGUGUAGCGGUGAAAUGCGUAGAGAUGUGGAGGAACACCAGUGGCGAAGGCGGCUCUCUGGUCUGUAACUGACGCUGAGGCGCGAAAGCGUGGGGAGCGAACAGGAUUAGAUACCCUGGUAGUCCACGCCGUAAACGAUGAGUGCUAAGUGUUAGAGGGUUUCCGCCCUUUAGUGCUGCAGCAAACGCAUUAAGCACUCCGCCUGGGGAGUACGG